AACGAACGCUGGCGGCAUGCCUAACACAUGCAAGUCGAACGAGACCUUCGGGUCUAGUGGCGCACGGGUGCGUAACGCGUGGGAACCUGCCCUUAGGUUCGGAAUAACUCCCCGAAAGGGGUGCUAAUACCGGAUAAUGUCUUCGGACCAAAGAUUUAUCGCCUUUGGAUGGGCCCGCGUUGGAUUAGCUAGUUGGUAGGGUAAAAGCCUACCAAGGCGACGAUCCAUAGCUGGUCUGAGAGGAUGAUCAGCCACACUGGGACUGAGACACGGCCCAGACUACUGGAGGAGGGGGGAGUGGGAAAUAUUGGAAAAUGGGGGAAGUCAUGACCGAGCACGGGUGGGUGAGAGAUGAUGCUGUUGGGGUAGAAAAGCUGUUUAACCCGGGGUUAUAAUGACGGUACCGGAAGAAUAGGCCCCGGCUAACUCCGUG
rnacentral:rRNA from 1 species